GAGAGGAGAGGAGAGGAGAGGAGAGGAGAGGAGAGGAGAGGUCAAGACCCUCGGGAAGAAGCUUCUGGAAGGAACAGAGCUGAGAUCUGUGAUAGCUUGUGAAAGCUCUGUUUACUCAUCUGUGGCAAAGAGGAGGCUUUUUAAAAUCUCAAGAAAGUGGAAUGUGCUCUAGAUUUGUCCUUCCCAUUCUGAGGGUUAAAUUUGCAUUUCUCUUAACGUCUCUCCAGCUAACAUGCAAAUGACUUCCAUGUGUCACUAUUUUUUUCCUUUAAAAAUAGUUUGAGUUUCUUCAAAAUUAUGUUCAGUAUUCAGAAUAUACCUCCAAAACAUUCCAAAACUCUUGAAUGCUGUUUUAAUUUCUUCAUAGCAUGGUUCUUGAGUUAAAAGACCUACCCUGUUCGUUCUUCAAUGCUGAAGAACAGCAGUCUCCCUCUAUGCAGCCAGUGUCUUAAACCUCAAAUACCUUUCUGAGCUUUAGAUGGGUUAUUUCACAUUUCUGUUACGUAGACAAAGAAACUGGGAGUGAGAUGAAGCGGCUUUGUGGAGAGCACAGGGAAGGUCAGUUCUCAGUUCAAGUUGGAUCCCUAGGGCUGUCAUCUCACAGGCCUGGUUUCUAAUCUCAGCAAAACACCGCCAGUCAGGCUGUCUUUUUGGCUGCUUUGCCCAUAGCCUGUUGGGUGAUCUCAGGAAUAUUUGGCAGAGGGAUAUGGAGGUUACGUUUCUGUAUUUUUGUAGGCGCUUGCGGGAGAGAUGAGGGAAAUGCAGGAAGAAUUGAGACACUCUCUGCUCCCAGAGGCAGCCGAGGCUCAGCCAGGCCUCCCGCACUGUCUAACGGGUGCUGUUGGGUCCAGGCAGGCAGGCAGGAGGUAUGGAGAGGAGACAAACCUGGAGACAAUAAAAGCAAUAACUAAGAAGCCGGAGCUAGGAAUGCAGCAGUGGGCUGAAGAUCUUGCAGGGUCCUGUGUUGAUGGGGAGGAGUUGGGAGAGUGGCACAGUGGGACAGAUAGAAGGUACAGGGAUGGAACUGCUAGGGAAGUGUAGGGCAUGGUGCAGGGCCCACUGGUUCUGCUGUCCGUGGGAGAAUUUAUACAUUAGGAGCUCUUAAUACCAUUCAUAGAAAUAGGGAGGAAGACGGGGAUGGCAGGGAAUAGUUUUGUUUCCUUUCGUGCUAAAGUGGGAUUUCAAUGAAAGGCACAAGAUCACAUUCAGGGCCAAUAGAGCUUUGCAGGCACUUUCACCAAGAAUGUUUUUAUUUCUUUGAAGAUGAGAUUACUAGAUUCUGUCAGAGCUGUUUGUCUCCAUGGUAGCAGAGCAGGCUAUGGAGGGGACAAAUGCAAACCCACGUUUUUACUUCAUCUAAUGCUGUUUUCUUAGGACUUGCCUACACUGAGAUGCUUAGGAAUGUUAAAUGAAAUAAACUAAUGAACAUAUGCUUGGUUGCAUUAAACUGCUAUAUGGACGCAGUCAUUCGUUGUAACAUUGUAACUAUGUCUUAGCCUGCUGUGCAAUAAAACUGCCUUUCUUCUGAAUAUAAUAAAGCCUCACUUAUGUACAUUGACUAGUUAAUUUGUCUUGACUAGACAUUUUCCUUAGUGUCCCCAUGUAAAUGAUGCAUUAAGUGAAGACUGUACUGAGACCACAUUGUUGGGCAACGAAGAUCCCAAACUUAGCUGCGAAUGUUGUUAGGAUGUGAUAGGACCAGGCACCAAAUUCUCCUUAGGAAGCCCUUGUUAACACAAACCUAAAAAUAUCUUCUUCUUGAUGCAAACAGUCAGAUCUAUUAUAAGGCAUUUCAAUCUGCCUUUUUGAAAAAGUUUAUAGUGAGGCAAUUCCAGAAAUAUUUGGAGGCUUCAUAUUUCCUUGAUCCCAGCCAAAUUGGUUUCAGGCCUCAUUAUGGUACGGAAACUAUAAGACUGUCUGUCUUAUUAGCUUACUGGCAAUAGCCAAAGACUGAGUUUAUACAUCAAUUAUCUUGAAAAAACAGAGUCGUGGAUUUCUGGGACAUCCGUGGUAGACAAAUAUACUUCAUCGGCACAUAUGCUUCACAAAUAUACUGGCACUUCUUUCAGUAUCAAAGGUCAUGGUGAAAAUGACAGCUGAUCUCAUGUUACAGGAUUUCUUGUUUGAUGAAUGACAAGGUAGAAUGAAUACGGAGUCUCAUCAAGACAAUGUUAUAGAAAUGACUUCACUAAUCGGCGGAGCUCACCAUUUCCUAUUUUGUUAUCAUAGGGAUAAAAUGUGAUUUUGAGUGUCUUAAAUACUUGCAUUUCAUUUGGACCUGUAUUGGAAAAUAGAAAAAGCUGCAAAGAUGUUUUGCUAGCAAUCACAGCUAUUGGUACUCCAUCUUAGAAAUCAAAAAGGGGUGUGUUGCCCACAAGAACAAGAAAUAGAGUCAUUGAUAUCUUCAGUCAGAUAAUGCUUUUUCAUGCUUUUCAUAUAUGUAGAACCUACCUGUCUGUAUUGAAAGGAGCAUGCCUAUAGGAUGGUAAGUAUAGGUAAUGCCUUUGUUUGUAAGUGAGGGCUGAUUUGAGUUCUGAAAUUGAUGAGGGAACAAGAGGUAGCAAAGAGAAAGCUCUGGGGAAACUUCAUUGCAGCUUUCCACUACUUGAAGGGACCUUACAAGCUGGAUGGGGACCGACUUUUAACAUGAUCUAUUAGUGACAGGACAAGGGGGAAUGGCUUUAAACUAGGAAGGGAGAUUUAGGUUAGGUGUUAGGAAGAAGUUUUUACUCAGAAUGCAGUGAGGCACUGGGACAGGUUGCACAGAGAGGCUGUGGUGCCCCAUCCCUGGAGGCACUCAAGGCCAGGAGGGGUGGGGCCCUGGGCAGCUGAGCUGGUGAGAGGCAGCCCUGAACAUGGCAGGAGAAUGGAACUGGAUGGACUUGGAGGUCUCUUCCAACCCGAACCAUUCCGUGAUUCCAUGAUUCCAGGGAUCUGUAAAAACUCAUGCGAGUUAUGCCUGUCUGGACCUGGAUAAUACAUUAUAUUCCUGAAACAAAAUGUUCCUCUAACCCUUAAAGAAUGUAAAAUGAGAGGUAGAGAGGGAAUCAAUGAAAAUAUGAUUGGUAUCUCUAAAUCAGAGCAGAACUUUAUGGAUUUUGAUUGUUCUUUUCCCAAAUUAUUACCUGCACUCUAGAAACAGAAGGAUUCUUUUUUCUUUUGCUACUACUUAAAGGGAUAGUUCCUCAACACAUAGCUGACACUGACAUAUUGAAAGUAAAUUGUUAAAAAGGGAAGAUUUCAGCUAAAAUAAAUCAGUUGUAUUGGAAACAGCGAAGCAGAAUUAGUAAGAGAUGCAUUAUGCACUGAGGCCACCUACUGGGCAUUCUUGAAUUAGCAGAGAAAAUGGUCGCAAAAAUGUAAUAACCAGUUGGCCAAAGUGCAAAACAAAGUAAGAGCACUAUUUUACUCUAUAGAAAGAAGAGAGGAAAAAAAGAUAUUAUGUGUGUGCUAUGGAAACUCAGAAUUUUUUAUCUGAACCAGUCAAAAGAAACGACUUCUUAUGGAGAUGUUUUUAAAUACAAACAAACAAACCAACUUUAAAACAACCAAUUGGGAAGCUUUAAGGUGCUCCCAGCCAAACUGACUGUUAGAGUUUAUUUAUGAUGGUGUGGCAAGAAAAGCGCAUUUUUAUUUCAUGAAAUCUGGUCAAGAUAUUAGAAAUAAUAUCUAAUUAUAUACCUGAGUGAUUCCUGUUAACUUUAUCAUUCAAAUGAAUUUACUCUCUGAAUGCGUUAUUGGCAAAUUAAGAUAGUCUGUUUCUGGUUGUUUUGUAAAUGAACAGAAAUGGAGAAUACAGAACUCAGAAGCUUAUUUCAUAAUCAGAAAUUACAACAUAGGCAUGGGACAGGCAUGGCUACACGAAUGGAGAGAAACCUGUGUGAAACACAUACCGCCUGGACAGAUGGUAGGGGAGAAGCAUGAUUUGUCACUGAGAGCAUCUGGGCAGUGCCCUGUGCUUACUCAUGCUGAAACUUCAGAAGUGGCUACAAGCACUAUCAAGGCUGCUGUAUAGUUUUCCAGGCUCUUUGCAGCAGAUUUAUGGCCAGUAAACUUGGCUUCAAAAUUACAGGGAUGUAUUCAAUUUUUUUUUUUUUUCUGGCUUCAGAAUGUUGCUGAUCUUCUGUGUACAUUUUUUUUUUCCUUCAGAAAAGUUUCCAGUUCCCAGGGAAUGGUUUGUGGAUUUAUUGAUCUUUUUUUCUGCAUUUUUCCCUGCACUGUUUUUCAACUGGUUUGCAAAAGCAAAUCUAACUUUUGAUGUAUAUGGUAUUUACUGAAACCAACUGUCAAAGAUAUUACAUAGCUGUAGUCUCGUAAAGCAUAACCAAAUACAGCCACAAGCUCACCUAGAGGAUUUUCGCAUCCUGGAUCAGAUUGCUGUACUGCGAAGCCUACAGCUUCUUGAUGUCCUAGGAGCCACUCCAUCACAUUUGGAUGCCAUCUUGACUCUCCAGCUCCUUCAUGUGUGCAACAGUUUGGAAUGAUGAAGCAGAGAGGUAUGCUGGCAGGAGGUGGCAGAAGAAGCAACAAAAGUAGAUGGAAUCAUAUGACCAAGAAAACAAGCUGAUGAAGUCGUAGAAAUUGAUCAAUUGUUGGCACUGAAGAUCUGCAGAGCCAUUUACUUUCAGUCUUUUCUCAUUCAUUGAAUGAAUCUUCAACAAACCAAUUAAAUUCAUUCAGCGAAAGAUGGCAAGGUAAAUGGAAGAUUGGUGCUGCUUCUGAAGAUGCCAACCUGAGGAGCCAUGGUUACACAGCCCUGAGCACAUAACGUUCCCAGCACUAACAGCAUCUAAAAAACCCUUAAUUAUUUCUAAAAAAAUAAACCAAAACAAACUUUAAUUGACGAUACCUUUAUUAAUAUAAAGUUAUCACAAUACUCUCUUUAGAUAUUUCCUUAAUACUCGCUGUUGAGCAAUAGAUUUAAUGAUGCUUUUGUAUUUUUGACACAGUUCUUUGUGAUGUAUUUCACAUUCUCACAUUGCACGUGAAGAAGCCCUCACUUAAAGUGAGGCGUUGGGUGGGCAGAGCAGGCAGCAAUAGAGGCUUCAGAAACGGGGAAUUGUUGUUUCUCACUCUGAGGGCAUUUUGCCAGAGAAUUCUGCUUGAGACUCAUGGAAAUUCUUGGACUAAACGUAUGCGUGCAUGGGGCUGGAAAAAUAUAUACGAAGCGUGUGUUUCUAUAGGAGUCCUAUUCACCUAAAACAUAACAAGAUUUAAAAACACUUCUUGCAAAUCAGAUUGAAAAUGACUGUGGGCUUCACAGCCUGUCUUCUUGCACAUUUUUACUAGAUUUGUAGCCAUCGAUAUUUGCUGGUUGAUGCUUGGCAGAGAGAAGAAAGAGACCAUGAAGAGAAAGGACACAUUCUUAAGUGUUUAAGUAAAAACGUGCACGCGUUUUUCCACUUAAACUUCAACUGUGAUCUUUCUGGUGGUGUGCUCUGUGUCUAAAAUAGCAAAUGAAAAGGAGCAGCUGAUAAAACAAGAGAUGUGGAUCUCAAACGAGUGCGAAGUUUGUCGUUAGUUCGUUCCUUUAGAAAAAGCUAUUUCCGUAUUGAUUCUCCAGUCUCGCAGUUUCCUCUCAAUAAAAUAUGUACGAACAGCUGCAGACAUUGUGAGACUUUAACAAUGAAUAAAUAACACUUCUGCAGCACUACUACCAGAGCCCGAUGAAAUUUAUAUGACUUUCUCCCACAGUAACCGACUUGUUCAGGAGUUUACUAACUCAUGCUAUGUAUAAAUAUUCUGACUUC